GUCAACGGCUAUGACUCGUUGAAUUUACCUGUUUCCAAUAGAUCACUGAAGUAAGCAACAUUGUGUGUGGUGGGAUGGGUGACCAUCUGGGCAAUAGCGUGUUGCUGGCU
rfam:Asian citrus Psyllid, Diaphorina citri - Florida Strain, whole genome shotgun sequence.